rnacentral:rRNA from 1 species
GCACGCCGCGUGAGGGAUGACGGCCUUCGGGUUGUAAACCUCUUUUAGCAGGGAAGAAGCGAGAGUGACGGUACCUGCAGAAAAAGCACCGGCUAACUACAUGCCAGCAGCCGCGGUAAUACGUAGGGUGCAAGCGUUAUCCGGAAUUAUUGGGCGUAAAGAGCUCGUAGGCGGUUUGUCGCGUCUGCCGUGAAAUCCUCAGGCUCAACCUGAGGCUUGCGGUGGGUACGGGCAGACUUGAGUGCGGAAUGGGAGAUUGGAAUUCCUGGUGUAGCGGUGGAAUGCCCAGAUAUCAGGAGGAACACCGAUGGCUAAGGCAGAUCUCUGGGCCGUAACUGACGCUCAUGAGCGAAAGGGUGGGGAGCAAACA